AAACACUGGACAUGGGCCCUGACAUCCAGGAUUGGAGGAGAUUCCAGAAAAAUGAGAGACUUCUCUGACACCUUUAACCAGGGACGGCAUCUUGGAGCAGAAGCUAGACAGGCUGUGUCAAGCAAGGGUCGAGAUGGUCUAGGGAAAAGCAAGCCUGAGAGGCCUUGGCUCCAAAGUGUCUCGGCCUCACUGGGACCCAGUCAUCUCCAGAGAACUGGCACCAGCCCCGGGAGAGGACACAGCUGCAGAAGAAGCUUAUGUUACAGAUAUGGAAAUUGAGUCUGGGAAAGCUGGAGACUCUCCUUCAAGGACACUCAUCAGAUAACUUGGAGACUAUGACUCAGAUUAUGACGGAUGAUCUUGAGGUCUCUUUCUUAUACCGGAGAAGUCGCCACUGAAUUCUGUGAAUUACCCCUGAGGAUCACAGCGAGUUUAUUCUCUGGGCUACUAUACAGGAUUUUGCCGAGGGCUUCCUUCCAUGGCCGGCCACCGGCUUUGCACACACGUCUACCGUGGGCCCUACGCCACAGCAGAGCUGGAGGGGCCGCCGACUCUGCAGGAUGCCCGUGGAUCUCAGGCUCCUGCAAACACCGGCAUCUAAGGAGUUAGCUGGGAGGCCGCCCCGGUGGGAGCCUGCAAGGUGGGGAGACCGAAAAGCCAGUCCUUCACCCCGCUGUGCUGUGUCUCUCUCUGCCUUAGGUGGCUCUCAGAGACUGUAUCUGCCUGUGGCACAGGCCCUUGGCAGACAGGAAGCUACGGGCCAGGACGUAGCUUCUACUGGGUGACCCUGGUCCCUGUGCUUGGGAAACACAGCCUGUGGCCUUUAUCGCGCCAGCCCCGGGAGGCUGGGGUGGUAGCUGCUUCCACCCCAUGCCCCCACCCCCGACCCCUGCUCAGCACCUCUCCCCUUCCUCUAGCUGUCAUCAGUCCCCUGCCUUCACUCCCCUCUGUUGAAAACACUGGAGUUUUAUGUGGAAUUCAAGAAACAAAACAGAGGAGCACAGAAGAAGGUGCGGGGAAUGAAACAAGAUGAAUCAGAGAGGGGGACAGACGGUAGGAGACUCUUAAUCAUAGGAAACACACUGAGGGUUGCUGGAGGGGAGGGGGAAGAGGGGAUGGGGUAAGUGGGUGAUGGGCAUCAAGGAGGGCACAUGACGGAAUGAGCGCUGGGUGUUACACGCAACUGAUGAAUCUCUGAAACCAGUAAUUCACUAUAUGCUAAUUAGAAUUUAAAUUAAAAAAAAAAACAGCACUUGACUGGCUGGACCCUAAC
rnacentral:lncRNA from 1 species